GCGUGAGAGGCUGGCGGCUGGCUGCGCGCGCCUUGCCGCGGAGCGCAACCCAGGGCGCGCGGGUCGUCCCUGGAGCCGGCCGGGUCUGCGCUGGAGCUCGCAGAGCGGGGUGCGCCCAGAGCUGGUGCAGGGCCUCGUGCAGCGAGCCGGGGCCGGGGCCACAGGAUGCAUGUCCCGUAGUGAUGCUGUACCAGCCCGUGCGUUUGUUGCCCACGGUUAUCUCCGCAUGGAGUCAGCCCUGCCGAGAAACUGUCUGGUGCUUAAAUGAGAAAAAAUUCCAAGCCAGAUUCAGAACAGAAACAGAAGUGACCCAAAAUCACAACCGCCUUUCUAAUGCAGUAAGUUGGUACACUUGGUCAGCUCUGUAAAUGGUAAGAAUAACGACGAUGCAGGUACUCCCAACGCUGUAGCUCACAAUGCAUCAGUAGUGAUGUUUGCCUUCCUUGCUGUAAUUCCAGGAAGGUCUCAGUGGACCAGGUCAUGCUAUUUGUGAAGUUACAUCUGGAAGGAAGGUUGAGGAACGCCACAAUGGAGAAGUACUGAAUCUUUCUAUUGUAAAACUAAGUUUUUGUAGAGCAGCCAUACCUCAAGCCAAGGACUGAGAAGCUGAGGACAUUCUACAGGGCUUCCAGAGGGAUAAUGACAUUGGCCAUCUAAAUUGUGUAAACUUGACUGAAAAUCAGAAGAAGGACAUCCUAGCAACUCGGAAUUUGCCACCUUCAAAUUUCAGUUUCCUAAAACACUAAUGGGCUCAGGGGCUAGUCAGAAAAUAACGUUGUUGCAGCGUGCAGCUCUUACAAGGGUAUAAAUUUGCACAUUACUCCAAACAUCUGGAUGCUGUGUUCUGUGAGUGUUCUUUGUGUUUAACAACAGCAAGGAAGCAGUCUUGAUUUCCAUUCCCUUGAAAGACUGGUCCAAUGGCAAGAAAAUACUUGAGAGACAUAGCAAAUCCAAAGAACAUGUUCUCGCUAUAGCAAAGUCAGAUGAAUUUGUUGCAUUUGAGCAUAAGAAAAAGCUGACACACUGCAAUCAGCAUGCUCUGAAACAAAUAGUUAAAAUUACCAUCCUUUGUGGAAGGCAGAACAUUUUAGUGAGGGGAGAGGUAAUAAACACUAAGAUUAUACAUGGACUUUCAUGUUCUAUCACAGGACUGGACCCUAAUUUGAAAGAGCAGCUUAAUUAUAGAUCUAUAGUACAGUGGACAUAUCGGAACAAACGCAAAAUGAGCUCACAAAGUUGGUAGGAGUCCAUAUACAGAGAAAGAUUAUAGAGAGUAAAAGCGGCACCAUUUUUCAGUUUAAUUGCUGAUGCAGCUGGUGCUUGUCCAGCAAAAGAAAACAUUUCACUGGCUAUACGAUGCAUCCACUGAAAUGAAGAUGGGCGAGUAGAACUCCAUGAAGACUUCAUUGAUUUUAUAGGUUUCAGAGUAGCAGCCGUGUUAGUCUGUAUUCGCAAAAAGGAAAGGAGUACUUGUGGCACCUUAGAGACUAACAAAUUUAUUUGAGCAUAAGCUUUUGUGAGCAUAUGCAUCCGAUGAAGGGAGCUGUAGCUCACAAAAGCUUAUGCUUAAAUAAAUUUGUUAGUCUCUAAGGUGCCACAAGUACUCCUUUUCUUACUGAUUUUAUAGAGCCUUUGAUACAACACAAAGCCUUACAGAGCUUUUCAUGGCGAGAAUAGCCACUUGGAGGUUACAGAAGGAACUGCUGAGGGGCUACGGCUGUAACAUGGUGAGCAAUAUAAUUGGUCAGAAUGCAAGAAUUUGUGAAAUCCUUCCAGCAGACAUGCAGUCAGCCUGCAGGAUGCACAAGCUGAACACAGCAAUUGUUCACUCUUGUGCAGUGCAACAAGUGGCUAACUUUUUUGAUGCUUUCUCCAAAAUCAUAACCACGCUGAAAGCUGUUGUAAAGUAUCCUAGCAUUCAGCCUACAGAGCUGCAGGAGCUCACAGGCUUGUUGAAUAAACUCUGUGAGGAAGAAGAGGAUCAAAUUAUGGAGGGCAUGCUUUUGGAUUGCAACACACAAUGGAUGAGUCAGAUGGAUACGCUGAGUAGCUUCAAAACAGUCUGUUGUGGUUGUUGAUUACUUAGAGAAAAUAGUUGAUAAUGAUGGUGGUGCUGAGAGAUUGUUAUAUUUCAUCAUGAAAUUUGACUUUCUGGUUACUAUGGUGUGCGUUGAAAAUGUACUUUCAUGUACAAAAUCUCUGCACGUAUAUAUGCAGCAUUGUACUGUAGAUCUAAUUUAUGUAUUGGGUGAAGCAAAUAUUAUUCUUCAUAGACUCAGGAGAUUGAGAGUGGAUGACAACCCACAUUUUGCUUCCCUAUAUGCUGAAGUGAAAUGUUUGGCUGAUGCUGUUUCUGUUGAAGAGUCACUUCCACCCACACGUGGGAGAAAAAUGCAUUAUGAUAACAUCGGUGCCAUAGACCUUAGAGAAUAUGAUAGGAGGACUGUAUUCAUUCCAUUCCUGGACCAUGUAAUUUCAGAGCUUCAGAAGCAAGUGAUCGACUGCUCUUUACGUUUUCUUGCUCAGUUCUUUGUGCCAGAUAAACAUCAUGUAUUAGAGAAUGAAGAUAUGGUGAUGGCUCUCAAUGAUGCAUACAAAGUGGACCUUUCUGAACUUGAUAAUUUUAAAGCAGAACUACAAAGAUGGCAUGAAAAAUGGAUAGACAUUCCAAGGGAUGAACAGCCAAACAGCAUUCUCAGUACUCUUCAAGAGCUGAUGCCGGCAUCCUAUCCUGAUCUCAACAUUGCCCUCUCUGUUUGGCCACCAGGCCAAUCAGUGUUGCUUUGGAAAACAUAUAAGGGUAUUGCAGACAGUCAAGACAUGGCUAAAAAAGCUCUUUAUGUGAAAGUCAACUCACAGGACUGGCUUUAAUGUACAUACAUCAAGAUACUGAUAGUGAUGUGGUUCAGAUUUUGGAAGAUUUUUACUCUUCUAAACAUUAGCAAAAUGGUUUUGCAAAUGAGAGAAGGAUUCUGAGUGUGGCACAGAGAACAAAGGCCUUGUUAUGAAACAGCUGUACCCUUGAUUUUCUGUCCCUGUAAGUGGUGUAAUGAAAUAGUUCAAAUGUAUCAGAACUUUAGUUUUUGUGGUGA